UGGAUAGCUAGUCUGUGAAGAAGUGAUCUCUUAUGCUGUCUUAUUGGCUCCUCAGUUCUGAUAUCUACUACAAUGGAUUCUUGUGUAAGAGCCUCAUCAUCAUCAUCUGCUAUAUCAUGAGUGCUCAUACUGAUAUCCUUGAUACCCUCGACACCCUCAAUCAUCUUAAUCUAAUAUAAAUCUCAAUCUGAUGUGUUGCUGCUCGAGAUAAUUAGAGAUAUUUUCAUCAGUUUGUAUAUGUAGCAUGUGUCCAAUGCUAUUAAUGUUCAUCUCAAUCUGUACGUCUUUCACUUUAAAAACUAGACUUCUAACUCAUCCUCUUAAUUUUUGAUCAUUUAUAAUUCUUUCUUGCUUUAUAAAAUCAAAAUCAUUUUUUUUUCAUGAUCAUUUCGAAGCUUGAUCCCUUUUUUUUGCAUGGGACAAUUAUUUGGAGAAGCCCUAAAUUCUUGAAUUUAUGCAUGUGACUUCUUCUUCCUUUAGGUGAUUACUUCCAAGGUGCCAUUGGAGAACGAGGACCAAAAGAAUAAGAUAGACAUGAAGAGGAAGAGGAAGGUCCAAUUUUGAUGGGAGAGAGGUUUGAAAGAGAUUUUGGUAUGAAAGAAUUGAAAAUGAAAUAAUAGAGCCUUAGAAUAUUUCAAUUAAGAAAUUUGUCCCAAACAUGGGUCGACUCUUGCUAAAUCAAGAGUCAGCUCCUGAAGAGGGAUCAACUAUAGUAAAAUUAAGAGUUGGCUCCUCACAGAACUGUUUUUUCUCUUGAAAUUAUGAGUCGACUCUCUAAGUUCAAAAGUCAACUCCUCAAAAUAAAAAAUAGUUCAAGGAUUCAAGAGAUAUUAGCUUGAAAAGAAUAGGACCAAUGGUGAAUAAAAAUUAAUGAUAAAAAAUGAUGUUUAAAUCAGAAUAAGUGAAUCAAUUUGGAGGAUCAAGAAUUAAUCAAUUGGAGGUUUAAUUAUCAAUCAAAUUAGAUGAGAUCAAGUCAAGGGGAAUUUAGACAAAGGCUCUAAGAAUGAGGUUCACUAGGAGAUUACCAAGUCCUUAAGGAUCAAACUAAGAUGCAAUCAUAUAAAACAACUAUAUCAAGCAUAAGACCUUUUAUGAAUAAUUGUCUUAUCUUGAAGUUCUUAGGUCAUGCAAUUUUUUAGAUAUUUCAAUAAUUAGAUAGCUUAUGAGAAUGUCAAAGUUUACUGUGUAAGAUUUUCACACACAUAAUUUCAUAUGAUUUGCAUGCAAGUAUUUUCUUAUGCAGCCAAGUUUAUUUUAAUUUAGAUCUCUCAAAUUAUAGCAUAAUAUGAGAGUUUAAGGGAGCAUGUUGAAUUUAGAGUAAAAACUUAUGCUUAUAACAAUUAAAAUGAUACAUAGGAGAGAGCAUAUUAAUUUUGA
rnacentral:lncRNA from 1 species